UGGGGAAUCUUCCGCAAUGGACGAAAGUCUGACGGAGCAACGCCGCGUGAGUGAUGACGGCCUUCGGGUUGUAAAGCUCUGUUAAUCGGGACGAAAGGUCUUCUUGCGAAUAGUUAGAAGAAUUGACGGUACCGGAAUAGAAAGCCACGGCUAACUACGUGCCAGCAGCCGCGGUAAUACGUAGGUGGCAAGCGUUGUCCGGAAUUAUUGGGCGUAAAGCGCGCGCAGGCGGAUUGGUCAGUCUGUCUUAAAAGUUCGGGGCUUAACCCCGUGAUGGGAUAGAAACUGCCAAUCUAGAGUAUCGGAGAGGAAAGUGGAAUUCCUAGUGUAGCGGUGAAAUGCGUAGAUAUUAGGAAGAACACCAGUGGCGAAGGCGACUUUCUGGACGAAAACUGACGCUGAGGCGCGAAAGCCAGGGGAGCGAACGGGAUUAGAUACCCCGGUAGUCCUGGCCGUAAACGAUGGGUACUAGGUGUAGGAGGUAUCGACCCCUUCUGUGCCGGAGUUAACGCAAUAAGUACCCCGCCUGGGGAGUACGACCGCAAGGUUG
rnacentral:rRNA from 1 species